UACGUAGGGUGCGAGCGUUAAUCGGAAUUACUAGGCGUAAAGCGUGCGCAGGCGGUUUUGUAAGCCAGAUGUGAAAUCCCCGGGCUUAACCUGGGAAUGGCAUUUGGGACUGCAAGGCUCGAGUGCGGCAGAGGAGACUGGAAUUCCUGGUGUAGCAGUGAAAUGCGUAGAUAUCAGGAGGAACACCGAUGGCGAAGGCAGGUCUCUGGGCUGACACUGACGCUCAUGCACGAAAGCGUGGGGAGCAAACAGG
rnacentral:rRNA from 1 species